UAGGGAAUCUUCCACAAUGGACGAAAGUCUGAUGGAGCAACGCCGCGUGAGUGAAGAAGGGUUUCGGCUCGUAAAACUCUGUUGUUAAAGAAGAACAUAUCUGAGAGUAACUGUUCAGGUAUUUUGACGGUAUUUAACCAGAAAGCCACGGCUAACUACGUGCCAG
rnacentral:rRNA from 1 species